rnacentral:rRNA from 1 species
AUUAAACUGGAGAGUUUGAUUCUGGCUCAGAUUGAACGCUGGCGGCGUGCCUAACACAUGCAAGUCGAACGCGAAAGUCUCUUCGGAGAUGAGUAGAGUGGCGCACGGGUGAGUAACGCGUGGAUUAUCUACCUACUGGUACGGGACAACAGUUGGAAACGACUGCUAAUACCGUAUACGCUGGUAACGGGAAAGGGGGCCUCUUCUUGAAAGCUCUCGCCAGUAGAUGAGUCCGCGUUUCAUUAGCUAGACGGUGGGGUAACGGCCUACCGUGGCAACGAUGAAUAGCAGGCCUGAGAGGGUGGCCUGCCACACUGGGACUGGAACACGGCCCAGACUCCUACGGGAGGCAGCA